GGCUCUGUUGUUGCAUGUGAGCCAUUUGCAAACCCUGCUUGUCGGGUACAGCUUUGCAAAGUGGGAAGUGGUCUCUCUCGCCUUCAACUCUUCUUCUCUGAGAAGCUGUAAGGAUUAAUUGGAUGGUGUCCAUGCUGUCUGCCAGGAAGAUAGAAAGUGUGAAGUAUCAUCUGGAUGGGUUUGUUGCAGCAGCCUAGGAGGAAAGCAGCAGAGAAAGACAACCUGUGACCCUACUGAGCUGCAGGCAGAAGAAUCUUCUUUGUACUGCUCGAGGUCAAGAAUGUGUUUACCCCCUGGCCUAAUGCUCUGAACUUUUGCAUCUGAGUGCAGGACUUCAGGACCUCUGAAGGCCACCACGCAGUGGAAUGAAGCUCCCUAGCAGAAGCAACUGGAUUAAACGUGCAACAAGACCAGUCCACACCAGCCCCCCAAGUCACUGAACUCAAUGACAUCAUGCCCAGGCAGAGAAAGUCAACAGGCCUCUGGCCCGGGUCCCCUCCACUCCUCUCAUUUCUUCUGCCUCUCGCUGUUCUUAACCCAGGGACAGUAUUUAGAAAGCAGAGCGGGUUCAGGCAGCCCUCUCAAUUACUUUGGCUGGAACCUUCCUGAGUACAUUUUGCUAUCUCUUUGUGAUGUAAACAGGGGCAUUCACAGUUGGCAGGGGAUGCUCUUUCUGUUUUAAUUACACAUGGCAUAAUUAUAGUCCCAGGGUCUGGAAACAGCACAAAGUUCUUUGGAGAACUUCAUAGGGAUUUUUCUGUUAUGACAUAGUUUAUCAGGAGAAAAAAAAGUAAGGCAAAAGACAUUUCCAAAGAGGAACGAACAACACUAUUUAUACUAGCAUUCCAUUCCCUAAUGAGCAGAUCACAAAAUUGGAGUAGACAUUUUUUCUGGAGGCGGGGGUGGAGUUUCAAAAUUUUGGACUCAUGGACAGUGGUGGCAAAAUCUAGAUAAAUACUAAUGAAUGGAUGUGGGUGGAGAAGGAUAUAUACGUAAAUUUUUUUUACUUAAGAAAGCAAUUAGAAGGCAUCCAGCUGUAUCUGAGGGAAUUUGCACGUACCCUGGACCCUGAGGAUAUGGAAAAAGAUUCUACCAUAGUCAUAGUAAUCUGGCCUAAACCUGAGUCGUAAAAUUCUCUCUGCCCCCAGAUGUGCAGUAUGAGGGCACUUCAUUACUCUGCUGAUGUAGUGAGAAAUCGCAGAACUGCCAUGGUAAUGGAGAGUGCAGUGACAGAGAUGGGGAGAGACGGCUGUUUCUCUGUUAUGAAACAUGUUUUCAUAGGGCCUUAAUUUUCUGUGAAGUUCUGUCAAGUGCUCAUCAAGCACCCACUUAUCUCCGUAUCUUAACCUGGCAGCCAAUCACAAGGUUGCCUAACAGUACAGCUACGGAGUGCCAGCCCAUUAAUAUUCGGGUCACGUGACUGUCCAAGGAGAGAAACCAAUCAAUGGCUGAUUAACAUUCAGGUCACAUGACUCCCGAGGAGAGUAAAUGAGUUACACAGUAAGACAUCAAACAAAUUUUCAUCUUGAAAGAGUGAUUGCUUUUUCUGCUGCUGUGAUGUUUGUCAAAUUCGCUCUAGCCUUGUCCAAUUAAGCUCCAUGAGCUGAAUUAAUAAUGAAGAGAUGUAAGCACCGAGCCAGCAUGAGCGCUGCGAUCUGUGCCACGUAAUAAGAACUGCUUAAAAAAAAAAAAAAAAAAAUCCUACAAUGAUUGAAAAAUCACAUCUGGAUAACUGGAAUAAUUGCUUUUGCAAUCUUGAUGCUGUUUUGUAAUCUCCAGUGCAAAGUGUGAACUGGAGUAUGCUGGGACAUGGCACUGAGCUGGCAUUGUACUUCAAAGAUGAAUGUGUUCUUGAGUUUAGAAUGAUUUUAAAGGCAUUACACAAAUACAUGUUAAUUGGAUU
rnacentral:lncRNA from 1 species